rnacentral:rRNA from 1 species
CCUACGGGUGGCAGCAGUGGGGAAUAUUGGGCAAUGGGCGCAAGCCUGACCCAGCCACGCCGCGUGAAGGAAGACGGCCCUCUGGUUGUAAACUUCUUUUAUUCGGGUCGAAACAAAUGACGGUCCCGAAUGAAUAAGCCACGGCUAACUACGUGCCACCAGCCGCGGUAAUACGUCGGUGGCAAGCGUUAUGCGGAUUUACUGGGUGUAAAGGGCGUGUGGGCGGGAGUGCAAGUCAGACGUGAAAUUCCAGGGCUCAACCCUGGAACUGCGUUUGAAACUGUUCUGCUUGAGUGAUUGAGAGGCAGGCGGAAUGCGGUGUGGAGCGGUGAAAUGCGUAGAUAUCCGGAAGAACACCAGUGGCGAAGGCAGCCUGCCGGACAUUAACUGACGCUGAGGCGCGAAAGCGUGGGGAGCAAACAGGAUUAGAUACCCGGGUAGUC